GUCUUUUUGAUAAUAAUUUAAGGUUUAACCUGCUCAAUGAAAAUUAAAUAGCUGCAGUAUUUUGACUGUACAAAGGUAGCAUAAUAAAUAGUUUCUUAAUUAGAAGCUGGUAUGAAUGGUUGGACGAGAUAAUUUCUGUCUCUUUUAAAAUUUUUUUGAAUUUUAUUUUUAAGUUAAAAAGCUUAAAUUUUUUUUAUAGACGAGAAGACCCUAUAGAGUUUAAUUAAAUUUUAAAUUUAAAUUUUGAAGAAAUUUGAUUAGUUUAUAUUUUUAAUUUAAUUUUGUUGGGGUGAUGUAAAAAUUAAUUAAACUUUUUAAUUAUUAAAGCAUUAAUUUAUGUAUAAUUGAUCCAUUUUUUAUGAUUAUUAGAUUAAAUUACCUUAGGGAUAACAGCGUAAUUUUUUUAGAGAGUUCUAAUCGAUAAAAAAGUUUGCGACCUCGAUGUUGGAUUAAAAUUAAAAUUUGGUGUAGAAGCUAAAUAAUUUAGGUCUGUUCGACCUUUAAAAUUUU
rnacentral:rRNA from 1 species